rnacentral:lncRNA from 1 species
GUACAUUGAACUGGAUGAGAAAAAGAAGCCAUUUACAUUAAUGCAUUGCUACAUAGAGUUUGAGAAGUAUCCAAAGUGGCAGACACGUCCGCUUCCUCAGAAGAAACAAAAGAAUACCUCGGAUGCAAGUCCGAGUACAACCUCCAACGAUAAAGACUUCGGCGCAUGCACUGAUGCUCUUGAAGAAGAGCUAAGACCUCCUGGUACGAAGCAUGACAAGAAUGAACGUUGAGGAAAGGUAAAACUUCUGAAUCCAAUGAUAGUGGUUGCAAGUUAUCAUUAGAAAGUGUGUGGGCACAGAAGAUAGAGAAGGAUGAUAUCAAAGAGGCCACAAAAAUUGCUCGCUACGCGAGAGCUUUUGAAUUGCAAGAGAACCAGAUUGCAUUGCAAGAGAAGGAGGAUGCACGGAAAUAGUUUGAAUUAGAUGAGAAAAUCAUGCUCAUGGACACAUCUCAUAUGAGUGAUGCACAGAAGCAAUUCUACAAGAAUAAACAAGAUGAGAUCAUUGCUCGCUGCCAGAACACAUCUGGUUGACCUUCAUUUGUUGUUCUGUCUACUAUUUCUUAUCACUUGAACUAUUUGUCACUUGAAUUAUUUGUCACUUCAACUAUUUGUGACUUGAACUAUUUGUCACUUUAACUAUUUCUUAUGCAUACAUGAAAAACUAGAUGAAAGGAAAUAGACUACAAAGUUACUUGUACUACAUCAUUCGUGUCCAAACUUCUGCCAGAGGUGCUCAACUAGAUCAUCUUGAAGCUGAGAAUGUUCAUCUUUGUUUCUAAUUUGCUGAUGCAUCUGAAUAAAUGCACUCAGCUCUUCCGCAUGAGUAGAGGACACCCUGACUCUUUCUCCCAUUGCCUCAUAAGUGUUGUUUUGCUAACCAGUGUGUCGUUCGUCUUCAUCUAUCAUAUUGUGCAUUAUGACACAAGCUUUCAUGACAUCACCGAUUUCUUUACGUUUCCAUCCUUUCGCAGGUCCUCGGACAAUGGCAAAACGGGAUUGCAGAACUCCAAAGGCUCGUUCCACAUCCUUUCUAGCCUCCUCUUGCCUUUGGGCAAAAUGUUUCUUCUUUCUUGUUUGUGGAGAUGGUAUGGUCUUCACAAAUGUUGC